rnacentral:rRNA from 1 species
AACGAACGCUGGCGGCAUGCCUAACACAUGCAAGUCGAACGAGACCUUCGUGUGUGGUUGCGCACGGGUGCGUAACGCGGGGGAAGCUGCACGUAGGUUCCGAAUACUUCCCUGUAGGGGGUGCUAAUGCAGGUUAAUGUAUUCGGAUAAAAGAUUUAUCGCGUUUGGGUGGGCCUGGGUUGGUUUAGCCAGUUGGUAGUGUACAAGCCUAUCAAGGCGUCGUUGGUUAGCUGGUUUGAGAGAAAGAUAAGCUACACUGGGGCUGAGACACGGGCCAGACUGCUACGGGAGGGAGCAGAGGGUAAUAUAGGACAAUGGGCGAAAGCCUGAUCCCGCAAUGCCGCGUAAGUCAUGAAGGCCGUAGGGAUGUGCAGCUGUUUGACACGAGGCGAUAAUGACGGUACCGGGAGAAUAAGCACCGGCUAACUCCGUG